rnacentral:rRNA from 1 species
AGAACGAACGCUGGCGGCAGGCUUAACACAUGCAAGUCGAACGCACCGCAAGGUGAGUGGCAGACGGGUGAGUAACGCGUGGGAAUCUACCCAGUUCUACGGGACAACACAGGGAAACUUGUGCUAAUACCGUAUACGCCCGAUAGGGGAAAGAUUUAUCGGAAUUGGAUGAGCCCGCGUUGGAUUAGCUAGUUGGUGGGGUAAUGGCCUACCAAGGCGACGAUCCAUAGCUGGUCUGAGAGGAUGAUCAGCCACACUGGGACUGAGACACGGCCCAGACUCCUACGGGAGGCAGCAGUGGGGAAUAUGGACAAUGGGCGCAAGCCUGAUCCAGCCAUGCCGCGUGAGUGAUGAAGGCCUUAGGUGUAAAGCUCUUUCAGUGGACGAUAAUGACGGUACCUACGAGAAGAACGCCCCGGACUAACCUUCG